GACGAACGCUGGCGGCGCGCCUAACACAUGCAAGUCGAACGAGCGAGAGAGAGCUUGCUUUCUCAAGCGAGUGGCGAACGGGUGAGUAACGCGUGAGGAACCUGCCUCAAAGAGGGGGACAACACAGUGAAAAUUGUGCUAAUACCGCAUAAUGCAGUUGGGUCGCAUGGCUCUGACUGCCAAAGAUUUAUCGCUCUGAGAUGGCCUCGCGUCUGAUUAGCUAGUUGGUGGGGUAACGGCCCACCAAGGCGACGAUCAGUAGCCGGACUGAGAGGUUGGCCGGCCACAUUGGGACUGAGACACGGCCCAG
rnacentral:rRNA from 1 species